rfam:Pygoscelis adeliae contig51667, whole genome shotgun sequence.
GCCGGGCACGGUGGCUUGUGCCUGUAAUCCAAGCGCCGGGGAGGCUGAGGCUGGCGGACGGCUUGAGCCUGGGGGUUCUGGGCUGCAGCGAGCUGUGCCGAGCGGGCGUCCGCGCUAAGUUCAGCAUCGAUAUGGUGGUCCUGGGGGAGCCGGGGGCCACCAGGUCGCCUAAGGAGGGGUGAACCGGCCCAGGUCGGAGACGGAGCAGGUCAAAACUCCUGUGCUGAUCAGUAGCGGGAUCGCGCCUGUGAACAGUCCCUGUAGCACAGCCCGGGCGAGAGAGCGGGACCCAGUUUCCU